GACGAACGCUGGCGGCGUGCCUAAUACAUGCAAGUUGAGCGCCGAAGGUUGGUACUUGUACCAACUGGAUGAGCAGCGAACGGGUGAGUAACGCGUGGGGAAUCUGCCUUUGAGCAGGGGACAACAUUUGGAAACGAAUGCUAAUACCGCAUAAAAACUUUAAACACAAGUUUUAAGUUUGAAAGAUGCAAUUGCAUCACUCAAAGAUGAUCCCGCGUUGUAUUAGCUAGUUGGUGAGGUAAAGGCUCACCAAGGCGAUGAUACAUAGCCGACCUGAGAGGGUGAUCGGCCACAUUGGGACUGAGACACGGCCCAAACUCCUACGGGAGGCAGCAGUAGGGAAUCUUCGGCAAUGGACGAAAGUCUGACCGAGCAACGCCGCGUGAGUGAAGAAGGUUUUCGGAUCGUAAAACUCUGUUGGUAGAGAAGAACGUUGGUGAGAGUGGAAAGCUCACCAAGUGACGGUAACUACCCAGAAAGGGACGGCUAACUACGUG
rnacentral:rRNA from 1 species